UGGGGGAUAACGUAGCGAAAGUUACGCUAAUACCGCAUAUUCUGUGAGCAGGAAAGCAGGGGAUCGCAAGACCUUGCGCUGAUUGGGCGGCCGAGUCAGAUUAGCUAGUUGGUGAGGUAAAGGCUCACCAAGGCGACGAUCUGUAGCGGGGUCUGAGAGGAUGAUCCGCCACACUGGAACUGAGACACGGUCCAGACUCCUACGGGUAGGCAGCAGUGGGGAAUUUUGGACAAUUGGGGGCAACCCUGAUCCAGCCAUGCCGCGUGAGUGAAGAAGGCCUUCGGGUUGUAAAGCUCUUUCGGCCGGGAAGAAAUCGCAUGGGUUAAUACCCUGUGCGGAUGACGGUACCGGCAUAAGAAGCACCGGCUAACUACGUG
rnacentral:rRNA from 1 species